AUGUCGAAGAAGAACAGCCUCUCCAAGCGGAAGAAGCAGCACGAGUUCGACCUCCAGAGGGAGAAGAAGGCCAAGGAGGAGCAGGCCAAGAAGCUGCAGGCCAAGAAGUCCAAGAUGAAGAUUGAUGGAAGCGAGAAGAAGAAGAAGGGCAGCAGCUUCAAGGUCGGCAAGAAGAAGGUGAAGACAAAGCUCUCAGCCCUGGGAAAAGCCAAGGCCGCGCAAGCCAUGGAGCUCGACAACUGA
rnacentral:rRNA from 1 species